rnacentral:misc_RNA from 1 species
GGGUGAUGGGGGUUGAUAUAGGACAAUUUAUCUUUAGUACAUAUUUACAUACCUAGUUAGCUGCUUUGGAUGCAUCUUUCAUUUAAGUUGAUCUCCCCUCCUGGAUCAGAGAUCAGGGUUUCUGAAUCAGAUUCUAGGAUGGCACUUUGUUGCCCUCUUACCUACAGCAUUUUGUACUCCAUUAGCAUUGUUUCAGCUUCAUCUCAUGGGGUUUGAUUGGAUCUUUGUGAUGCCAGCAGGCUUAUCCACCAGGACCCCUAAGCAAGCUUGCAAUCGCUGAACCUGAACUGGUAGCGAGUACCAACCCAUUGAGUUGAUACAAACGGGUUUCAAUUUAGCAGGAAGCAUGUCUUUGCAGGCAUACCAACCACAACACACCUUUGAUUAUAGGUUUAAUGAAAAUUUAUUCAAUCCUAUAUGAUAAGAGCUGAAGCAUGUUCUUGGUUGUGAUGUGGUUGUCAUUCUGGCAAAUAAUGGCAGCGGAUCUUGCAUGUGGUGUGCUAAUAAAUUUUAUUAGCUUUAAUUAAUGUGGUGAUCCAUAUUCAAUUAUAAUUUGUUUGGC